UUGGGUCCUGACAGUCCCCGCGUCCUCUCGCACUCGGUCCGCCCCUCUCACCGAUGGCGCCGUCCGUGUCCGCCUGCCUCUGCCGUCUCCUUCCUCGCUCAUCUUCUUCUCCCCGCUCACGGCCUUCACUCCCCUCUCUGUCCCCGUCUGACCCAGAUGCGCCCGUAGUCCGCCGGCGCCAGCGGCGCCGCAGGUGGAGCAGACGCGGCUAGGAGGAGCACGAGCCACCGCCGCCAUCUACCCGACGGCGAUGUGAAGGAAGCAACCAGAGAUGGAGGGCGCCGCCGGCGCUGUGACCCCGGGCGGGCCAAACGGGGUGUGCGACACCAACAGCCUGCCAGUGUGUGCUCGCCUCCGCAGGUUCGCGCCGCGGUCGCCGGAGGAGUGGGCACCGCAGCGUCGAGCAAGGCUACCCUGCUCACCUAGGGAUUUUCCUCCAUGGCCGCCAAACUAAAUGUCUCAGUCCCAGGGCAGUGGCGGAGCUACGGGCCAAUGGUUGGGCGGGCCAACUAGAGAAGAGCACAUGAAUUUUUGCACUCGCGACCUAUUUCUCUCUCAGGCACAUUGAUUUGAACAAAUCUGGGCGGGCCACUGCCUUGUUUUGCUUCGACAAAGCUCCGCCUUGCCCAGGUGAACUCGUGCACCUUUUGAACCUGCUCUCUACCACGAUUCAUAUUUUUCUGCAUCAGUUUCAUUCCUACAAGUGAUGAAUUGUCUAUUUGCCACAUUGCUGCCCCAGGUAUGUCCCAAGUGAACUGGCUUAUUGCGAUGAUUUGGUCGAUUCAGACUUCUCUUUAUUUUGAAUGGCUUUCACCUUUGGGCAAUUCAAUUGAUGGAAGGUGUUGUUUCAAUGAUAUUGAAGCUUUUUUAGGGAAUGGCGUUCUCGAUGGCCGGGAGGGACCGGCUCGGCCUCCAUGGCCUGCUCCCGCCCAGUGUCGUUUCCUUGCAGCAGCAGAUGACCGAUUCCCUGCCGUACUCUCAAGUUUAGUCAUUGCAUUUACUGAUGUCGAGGUGGACGAGGAUCUUCUCGGCCCUGCUCUGAUAUUGUGAAAACUCAUGCUGCCGACAGCCGCCUCCAUGCUCCAACUUUUGCAGCCUGUAGGUAGCCUCUCUGUUCUUUUGUCUGUACCUUUCUGCUUGCUUUGCUAAUGUGUUAGGUGUGUGCUUGGCUGCUUAAUACUUGCGCUGAAAUUGUAUGAAUGGCAGCAAGGUGUAGCAACAGCCAACAUUAGGCCGGCUCAGUCCUAGCAGCAAAUUUCUUUGUUGUUCUAUAUUAUUCAACCAUAUGUUUAUAUCUUUCUGGUGAUGCAUUUGUUUCUAAUUGACAUUUCAGUAUAAGCUCGCAUUGAUCCUCGGUGGUGAGAAAAGUUUACUACUACAAGUCCAGUUUGUUUAGUGUCCCAGAAAAAGUUGACUACUCAUGCAUGCUAGACACACAACUUAUUUGAUUCCUAUUGCCAUAUAUCAACCUAGCUGAACUAAAGAGCAAGGUAAAUCAGUACUUCCAACUACACUAAAUUGUUGCUUCCACAAAAUACCUUGCUGAUUUCUAUCCACUCAGAGCAGAUCAUAACCCUUUUCAUGGAAUAAUGUAUAAGUUUAGAUCUGAAUAGAUGCUAAGGCAUAAUCAAUAUCGAAUAUCUGUUGGUAACUUGGUAUACAUUCCAGAGUUAUCAUUAUAAAGAGCAAGGGUUUAUGCCUUUCCAAAUUAAUUAUGUAUUUUAUCCUUGAGGCUUCUUCUGUUAAUGUAAAUGCUCUUCCUUACCGGUAUGUAGGGUUAUAUGUAUGUUUAUAGAUUUUAUUCAUUUUUUAUUUUAGUGCAUUAAAAUUGUGAUGUCCUUUCUUACUAUCAUAUUGUUUGCUUAAAACAAAGACUGAUAAACCUUCUCCCAUUGUAUCCACUCCCGUAUCGUUAUUCUUCACUGGAAAUUUAUGGGCAAGUGUGAAGAAAUGAGAAUGUAGUUCUUAAACUAAAAUUUCUAUAAACAUGGAAAGUGGAAGUUUUAUUAUUAUUUUUCAUAAAGUUUCAGGCACGACAAACUAUGGGGGUCCUAAUAUUUUCCUUUCAUUUAAUUUGGCUUAUAAAGAUUUCCAGUGGGCAUUUAGGCGGUUAGGCCUAAGAACUUCCUUAUGAAUUUAUCACAGAAAUGAGAUAACAAAAGAUCUAAAUUGCUUUUUGUUCUUUGUUUAUUUUUGAAAGACUUAGCAUGUCAUGUAGGACUGGUUGGUAGUGUAAUGGCCUCUAACAAGCAGAGGAAAUGAAUGAUUAUAUAAUGAUAUUGGAAAGAGGACCAACUAAUAUUGAUAAAGACUUGUCUUUUCUUUUGUUCGGACUAUACUGAAUAAGAAUACACAAGAAAGACCAGGACUAACAUAAGUGAAAAAUGUUAACAAUAUUUAGUCUGUCCAGUCAUCAAAACAUGAAACUUGUUUCUGGUUCCACUCUAAUAAUCGCCUUCAAAAACCAAAGUUGAAACAGUUAUCAUUUAAUCAUUUACAGUCAUGUUGUACAUGCUGGUUGAAGCAAGCGACAAUCCGGCAGUAGCAGUUGGCGGUGAGCUUUUUCAGAUUUCCGCCUCUGAGUGAUCAGUUUAUGAAGGCAAGAUUAAACCAGCCUUAAAUCUCAUUUCCUAUAAAGUUUUGCUGUAGAGUGGUCAGUUUUUGCAUGUCUAUUACUUGCAUAUUAAAAAAACCCGUCUUACCACUCUCCCCUGAAGGAAUACCAUCUUUUUAUGAAUUUUUUUGUUUACCAUUAAUGCUUUCAUGCUUGAUCGUUCUUGAUAAAAUGUCACUCUACCUCACGGGGUGCAAUAUGGCAUUAUCUAAUGCUCAAUGGAAAUAGGUCUUAGCAUCAAGUAGUAUAAACAUCAUAAGGAAUGAUGGGAUAUUGAUUACAAAAACACCAUCAGCAUGGCAGACUUUGUCUUGUGAGAAAUAUAAUAAACUAAAAAACAGUCUGUUGCUAGUCUCUAAUUUCACAUGGAUAUUUGGAUUUUGGGAUGCAUGUGUAGUUUCAGUAAUGACAUAAUUUUUGCAACUUGAAGGACAAACUAGACACUUUAAUCAAGCAAAUUAAGAAGGAUAAAAACAGGGCAGGUGAGUCCAAAGAUAUAUCAGAUGUUAAGGACAUCUGCAUUCUUCUAGAGGCUAUACAGACAAAAUCUGGACAAUAUACCCCUCCACAGCAGACAUGGGAGCUCGAGUGCAACACGCGCAAGAUUCUAUUUGGAACACGCAAGCAUGAAAAGGUGUUGCAGGCGUCCAAUCGAGCUCCGCAGCAUCGAGUGCCUUGCUGUUUAUGUAGAUGUGGUACAUGUCUGAAUUUGUGCUCUCUUUUGGUAGAUAUAUGGUACGUAAAGACGGAUCACAUCACUGUCUGUUUAAAUGCAUGAAAUCCGGUACUGAAUUGUCUAAGUUACUGUCUGAGAUUCAAUUUGUGCUUCAUUUUACUUGAUGUGGUAUGCAAUGACAAGGCGGAACAUGUAUAAUUUUUGGUGCCAACACUGGGGGAUCACACUGUUUCUGCUUCAGACGAGUGUUGUUUGAUCAAGUAUUUGUUGGCAACUGUUUCUUA